rnacentral:rRNA from 1 species
UACGUAGGGCGCGAGCGUUGUCCGGAAUUAUUGGGCGUAAAGAGCUCGUAGGCGGUUGAGUAAGUCGGGUGUGAAAACUCUGGGCUUAACCCAGAGCCGCCACUCGAUACUGCUCUGACUUGAGUACGGUAGGGGAGCAGGGAAUUCCUAGUGUAGCGGUGAAAUGCGCAGAUAUUAGGAGGAACACCGGUGGCGAAGGCGCUGCUCUGGGCCGAAACUGACGCUGAGGAGCGAAAGCGUGGGUAGCAAACAGG